rnacentral:rRNA from 1 species
UACGUAGGGAGCAAGCGUUGUCCGGAUUUAUUGGGCGUAAAGAGCUCGUAGGCGGUUUAGAAAGUCAGGUGUGAAACCCCCAGCUCAACCUGGAGACGCCACUUGAUACUUCUAUGACUUGAGUUUGGUAGGGGAUCCAGCGGAAUUCCUGGUUGUGAGCGGUGAAAUGACGCAGAUAUCAGGAGGAACACCGAUGGCGAAGGCAGUGGUCUGGGCCAAUACUGACGCUGAGGAGCGAAAGCGUGGGGAGCGAACAGG